AAAUCAAUUUAAUUUGAAUUAUUAAAUUUAUUUAGAUUUUUUAAGUUAUUUAUUAUAUUUUUAAUAAAAAUAUUUUUUGUUUUUUAUAAAUUUAGAUAAAAUUAUUUUAAUUAUAGUAAAAUAGUAUAGUGAUAGAAUAUUGAAAUAGAUUUGAAAAAUAAAAAUUUUUUAAAGAAAAUUUAAAUUAUUGUACCUUGUGUAUCAGGGUUUAUUAAAUAAUGUUUAUAUAAGUUAAUUUUCUCGAAUUUAAAAGAGUUAAGAAAUUAUAAAUUUUAUUGUAAAAUAAAUAUUUAACAUAAUUUUUUAGUAAUGAAACGUUAUUCGUUUUUAAAUUUAUCUAGUUUUUUAAGAAAUAAAUUUAAUUUAAUUAUUUAUUUUUAUUAAAAUUAUUUUAAAAUUUAAAUAAAAUAAAUAAUAAAUAUUUUAAGGGAUAAGCUUUAAAAUAUAUUUUGAAAAAUAAAAUUUUUUAUUUAAAAUUUAUAGAAAUGAAAGUAUUUACUUUAUAUUAGUGUGUUAUAACAAAUUUUAAAUAAUUUAUAAUUUUUUUAUUAUUUUCAAUUUUUUAUUAAAAUUAUUGAUUUAAUUUAAAAAUCAAUAAAAUAAUGAUAGAAUUAGUAUAAUUUAUUGUUUAAAAAUUUUAUUUUAUUAAGGUUAAGUUAAGGAAUUCGGCAAUUAUUCUUUUCGCCUGUUUAAUAAAAACAUGUCUUUUUGAUAAUAAUUUAAAGUCUGACCUGCCCUAUGAAAUAAAUUUAAAUGGCCGCGAUAAUUUGAUCGUGCAAAGGUAGCAUAAUAAUUAGUUUCUUAAUUAGGAACUGGUAUGAAAGGUUGAACGAGAAAGAAGCUGUCUCAAUUUAAAUUUAAUUAGAAUUUUAUUUUUAAGUUAAAAAGCUUAAAUAAUUUUAAAAGACGAGAAGACCCUAUAGAGUUUUAUAUUUAUAUUUUUAUUUUUAAUUUAAGAAUUUUAUUUAGUAAAAAAUUUUUAUGUAAAUAUUUAGUUGGGGUGAUUGGAAAAUUUAAAAAACUUUUCUUUUUUAAAUACAUUAAUAAAUGAAUUGAUGAUCCAUAAUUUAUGAUUAAAAGAUUAAAUUACCUUAGGGAUAACAGCGUAAUUUUUUUUGAGAGUUCUUAUCGAAAAAAAAGUUUGCGACCUCGAUGUUGGAUUAAAAUAAACUUUUGGUGUAGAAGCUAAAUAGUUGGGUCUGUUCGACCUUUAAAAUUUUACAUGAUCUGAGUUUAAACCGGUGUAAGCCAGGUUGGUUUCUAUCUUUAAAAAUAUAAAAUAUUUUAGUACGAAAGGAUCAAGUAUUUAUUAUAAUAAUUUAAUUAAGAAUAUUAUUAAAUUAAUAAAAAUUACUUUGGCAGAAUAGUGCUU
rnacentral:rRNA from 1 species